GACAGAGGGUGCAAACGUUGUUCGGAAUUACUGGGCGUAAAGCGCGUGUAGGCUGCUCAGAAAGUCGGAUGUGAAAGCCCUAGGCUCGACCUAGGAAGUGCAUUCGAAACUUCUGAUGCUGGAGUCCUGGAGAGGAAGGCGGAAUUCUCGGUGUAGAGGUGAAAUUCGUAGAUAUCGAGAGGAACACCAGUGGCGAAGGCGGCCUUCUGGACAGUGACUGACGCUGAGACGCGAAAGCGUGGGGAGCAAACAGG
rnacentral:rRNA from 1 species